rnacentral:rRNA from 1 species
AUGGAUUCCAUCAAGCAGGCCAUGGGCCUCCAAGAUUGUUCAUGCUUGACAAGGUAUGAUAUUGGCGGCGAGGGAACGUGCAUGAAGAGAUACUCAGACCCGGCCUUCUUCAAGACAGAUUCCGCAUGUUCCAGAAUGCUGCAGGAAGGAAUGAGAACAGAAAGAAGACCAAUUAGAACCAUGGAGAUCAGGCCGAACCUGCAGAAUGCUGAGAUUUUCAGAGCUUCUGAUGGAGCCAACAAUGACUCAAGGUUCAAGACUGAUUUAUCGGGUGAAGUGUUGGAUGAAGUCCCGACAAGGCGCCAAAGACUGAAGCACCGACAACUAAACGGGACCGUGUUCCGAAGCUUCAGACCGCAGAUGCAGGAUCUUUAUGAAAAGGCUUCACCAGAGGAGAAAACCUUCUCCAUGGAUCGAUCAGAGGUGCAGAUAUCUUUCACCGACUCACCCGACACAAACGUCGAAGAGAGAGAUAUCAUGGUGGACACUUCCAGCACCACUGAGAAGGGCAAGGAAGGCUACUACGCCACAGCACGCAAGAGGAGGUCGACUUCCCAAGAAACACCGUCAAGCUGUUCAGCAGGAAGCAGCAAGGGAUACAGCUCUGAAGUUGAUAUUUACGUGGACACACUCACCACAAUGGGGUCUGACUCAGAGCACAGGGACCAUGGUGGACAAGGUGCCUUUGCAUUAGGCAAGAUGUGCUCUGAUGCUCAGGGCGCCGCCGUCUCCAGGUCUAGUACCUUCAGUAAAAAGGAGGACUCUUGCUCUUCAGAUGUUGGCUCAGGAAACAGAGACGAGGCUGAUCACUCCGAAGGAGAUGUCACUGUCUGUGUAACGGAAGCCAAACUUGUUGGUGGUGAACACGAGAGGACUAGCUCGUUGGAGGAAUUGUUUUCACAAGAAAAGCCGGUUUCUUGCGAGCAUGAGAGGACUGUUUCCUUGGAGGAACUGCUUACUGGGGACAUACUUCUUUCAGAGCCUGAUACAAGGGAAUUAGCUACCGAGUCCAGUGGUAAUGCUAUUGUCAGUAAUGCUACAUCCGAUGGUACAGCUGAUGCUACUAAAAAGGCCAAGGGGAACAAUGUUUCGGCCAUUUCCUUCAAGAAAACAGCGAGCAAGAGGUGUGUCGAAAGCAUGGAGCUGUUUGCCUCAAAAGUCGGCAUUCUGCCCAGGAAACUCUCCAAGAAGCAUGACCCAUUCUCUGAUUCCCUCCGUAACAUGGCAAAGGAGCUGCUUGAGCUCAAGUGUGAUGGCACUCAAGAUACUGACUUGUAUGAGUUUGAAGCGAAUGGCGAUGGAUUCGACGUCAAGUGUCGGAAAAUGGCUCACCCUCCUAUUGAAACCAUGGAGGAAAGUUUCAGGAAGAGCAUUUCUUUUGAUUCACCCCAAGAUGAUGUUGGUUCAAGGGAAUGCCAGCUGGAAGUAGUGGAUCAAGAGUCAAACCAUGAGGUUCCAACUGCUGACAGUCCACAAGAUUCAGUGCCUGAUGAAAAUGGUUUUGAGCACAUCGAUGUCUACCUGACAGACAUCGUAUCACCGAGUCCCAAAGAAGAUGGAGAAGAGGAAGAAGAAGACGAUGAAGAAGAAGAGGAAGGAUGGGCGGUUGCGGCACCUGAUGAGCAUUCAUCUGUUGGCAUGCUCAAUCAUGCAUCAGAGCUUAUUCAAGAGCACACUGAGGAUAUACAUACCGAAGGUGCUUCUGAAAAUGCAUCUGAUAUGGGUGAAGAUUUGAAAGAAGUGUGCAUUUGCGAAGAGCGUGUGAACGUGGAAGAUGCUGAUGGAUGCAGUGAAUCUGAUGAGAAUGCAUCGGAGGACGAAAUCACAGAGAACAUAGGAGAGCAUGUGGCUCUAGAUGAUGUGAUCUCCUCGCCGAUUUCAUCCAAGCAAUCUGAUGAUCCUUGCCAUGUAACUCCAUUCACUCUCAAAGAUGCAGAUAUUGCAGUAGCAAGUGAAGGCCCAGACAACUACAGCACUGAAAUGGAGCAUGUCACAUUGCUGGAAACAGUCGCGGAAACGGGACUACCUAAAGUUGUGACUGAACAAGUAGUCAGCAGUGAGGCUGCCUUGCCAGAUGAUGAACAGUGCUGUCCACAUCCAGAAACUAGUUUACCACAAGAUACAGUUCUCGGUAGCUGUGAACUUCUAGACCAAAAUGAGCAACUGCAACUGCACAGCUCAUCUAUGAUGUCUGCCACUCCAGAUCCAACUGUAAACACAGGGGAAAUACAUGAAUUGCAUGAAGAACCGCCUAAUCCAUGCAACAGCAUCAGCACUGACAUUUUUGCAGAUCAAUUGGCUCCGGACUCCACUGAUUUGCCGCUGCCCAGCAUUUCAAGUUUUGAUUGGAUGCUUAGUGGUUUAAUGAAGAAGUCAUUGAACGUGCUUCCUGCUCCAUCAAGUAAUAUAAAUCUACAAGAGAUUAGUUCUUCUGAAGAUACUGAAGAAACACCACCACUUCCACCUCUUCCGCCGGUGCAGUGGCGAGCGACCAAGCUUCAGACAGGAUCCACAUCUUUAUUUGCAAAAUUGGGGAGACCACCAAGGCCAAAACCUCCAGUGAAACAGCUAGAAAAUGAAAAUAACUCUGCACCAGGCGAAACAAAUCAAGAAUCUGAAAAUGUUCAGGAAAUAGGCUGGAACAAUUGUUUUAGUUCGCAGAAGGAAAUGGCACAGGCAACAACACUUUGUAGUGAGACUCGGACAGAUCUGUUACCUGAGAGUGAUUCUCAAGAAAAUAAUGUCCAAGAAGGAUACAAAGAGUGUGAUGUGCAGUCUUCUAAUCUAUUUUGCUCAUCAGAAGUCAAGUGCAACACAGACGUUACUUCAGUAGGCGACGACAUGCACACUUUUAAGCCGCCUGAGCUUAUAGUAAUUCCAGAGGAGGCUUGGUCUGAGCUCGUAGAUAUGAAACCGAUACUGAAGCAGGAGGAAGAGAGAAAACAACAGCUCAUAAAUGGAGUUUCUGAUUGCAGUAGCAUUCAUACCAGUGGUUUGCCAAUUGAAAAGACCACUGUGGAGCAUGAAAGCUCUGACCAAAAGGAGGAAUUGUCAGCAGCAGAUAGCAACACAACUACAGAUUCAGAAGAAAACAAACCAAAUGGGCUUCCUUGUCAAGAUGAUAUUCAGAAUCCUGACUUCUCAGUGCAGCAGGAAGAUAAAUCCAAUGACAUGGUUAGGGAUUUCUCUUCAGCAUUAGAAGAGGAACUAGCAAAGUUGCCUGCUCAUUCAGUGCCAGAACUACCUAGAUAUCCUCUGCUUCAAGUUAUUUCUCAUGAUAGAAGCAUGCUGAGAAAGGCUCCAACUUUGGUUCAGCCAUCAAGUAAGCUUUCAGAUGAGAAGAACACAGUGCUGGAUCAGAUAAAGAACAAGACUUUCAACUUGAAACCGGUUGUUACAAAGAGACCAAAUGUGAUGGGUGGUCCAAGAACAAACUUGCAAGUGGCGGCCAUUCUCGAGAGGGCCAACGCGAUUCACCAGGCGGUUGCUGAUGACGAUGACGAGGAUAGCUGGAGUGAGUAG